AGCCUGAACGCUGGCGGCGUGGCUAAGACAUGCAAGUCGUACGGUGUAGCAAUACACAGUGGCGAACGGGUGAGUAAUGAAUCGCUAAUGUGCCCCGGACUCUGGGAUAGCCAUCCGAAAGGGUGGGUAAUACCAGAUGACAUAACCUUUCCGCAUGGUGAGGUUCUCAAAGGUCCGCCGGUCUGGGAGCAGGCGAUUUUGUAUCAGCUAGUUGGUGAGGUAACGGCUCACCAAGACGACGACGCAUAGCCGGACUGAGAGGUUGGCCGGCCACAUUGGGACUGAGACACUGCCCAGACUCCUACGGGGGGCUGCAGUAACGAAUCUUCCGCAAUGCACGAAAGUGUGACGGAGCGACGCCGCGUGUGGGACGAAGUUCUUCGGAAUGUAAACCACUGUCAGGGGUAAGAAAGUUCUGAUCUACCCCAGAGGAAGGCACGGCUAACUCUGUGCCAGCAGCCGC
rnacentral:rRNA from 1 species